rnacentral:rRNA from 1 species
CCCUUAGAUGUUCUGGGCCGCACGCGCGCUACACUGAUGCAUUCAACGAGCCUAUCCUUGACCGACAGGUCCGGGUAAUCUUUGAAUCUGCAUCGUGACGGGGAUAGAUUAUUGCAAUUAUUAAUCUUCAACGAGGAAUGCCUAGUAGGCGCAAGUCAUCAGCUUGCGUCGAUUACGUCCCUGCCCUUUGUACACACCGCCCGUCGCACCUACCGAUUGAAUGACUCGGUGAAAAAUUGGGACUGUGAUUGAAAUUGCUUCAUUGCGAAUUUAAUUAUGGAAACUUUCUUUAACCUAGGCAUUUAGAGGAAGGUGAAGUCGUAACA